AUUGAACGCUGGCGGCAUGCUUUACACAUGCAAGUCGAACGGUAACAGGGUGCUUGCACCGCUGACGAGUGGCGAACGGGUGAGUAAUGCGUCGGAACGUGCCGAGUAGUGGGGGAUAACGCAGCGAAAGUUGUGCUAAUACCGCAUACGUACUGAGGUAGAAAGUGGGGGACCUUCGGGCCUCACGCUAUUCGAGCGGCCGACGUCUGAUUAGCUAGUAGGUGAGGUAAAGGCUCACCUAGGCGACGAUCAGUAGCGGGUCUGAGAGGAUGAUCCGCCACACUGGGACUGAGACACGGCCCAGACUCCUACGGGAGGCAGCAGUGGGGAAUUUUGGACAAUGGGCGAAAGCCUGAUCCAGCCAUGCCGCGUGUCUGAAGAAGGCCUUCGGGUUGUAAAGGACUUUUGUCGGGGAGGAAAUCCCCAGCGUUAAUACCGCUGGGGAUGACAGUACCUGAAGAAUAAGCACCGGCUAACUACGUGCCAGCAGCCGCGGUAACAC
rnacentral:rRNA from 1 species